rnacentral:tRNA from 1 species
GAGGGUUUAGCUCAGUGGUAGAGCAUGUGCUUGGCAUGAACAAGGUCCUGGGUUCGAUUCCCAAGUACCCGCA